AUGUCCAUCAAAUGAAACCAUACAGCUCCUUAUCAAAAUGCUAUUUUAUAAGCUAUUUCUUCCUAGUCCCAUAUAAAUUAAAUGAACAUUUCUGGUAUCACCUUGUCACACACUACAUUUAAGAAUUUUUAAAUGCUAGCACUAACAUAGCAAAGUUAACAGGUUUCACAUUCCAUAACAAUGUUCUGAUUUGGGCAAAAAUUUUGUUAUCUGUGAUAAUAAUCAAAAAAGCAACAGGAGACCAGGAACAAUAAAGAGCUUGUUUAUUUAGCAUUUGCAAAGGCCAGGACCCCUUCUCCCUAAAAUGGAGAUCCCUCCCCAAAAUCAUGUUGGAGACUUUUAUAUACUUCUGCACACAAGAUUCUGUUAACAUCACCUUAUCCUGUUUCCCUGGGUAAUUCCCUGGGUCUACUGGGUAAUUUUCCAGUAACCACCACCCACUCACCUAUCUCAUUUCCAGACAACUCCAGUUCUUAUGGCGUAUCCUAUAUUCUGUUUGGCAGAUUGUCUAUUCUAGGAUACUAGUGUUAACAUCAGCAUUUCUUCAUUUUAGCAUACAAUAACACAUUAAACAUGUUUCAGAGUACAAAACAACCUUGUUUUUGUGAUGAAUAUAACAUUUAUAUAAUCAUUACUUAACAUUCCAAUAAUAUUCCAGGAAUAUUGCCAUAGGUCAUUGCUAGAAUAAAUAUGGCGUUAUUAUUUAGGUUUCUCAUUUUCCCAGGUAUAAUCCUUAAUAUGUAAUUUUACAUAUCACAUCCUAUUUAUUUAUUUAUUUGUUUGUUUGUUUAAAAUUUAUAUUUAUAUAGCCACCCAAACAGUAUAUCAAUUUUUAGUAUACAAACAUUAGGUAAGAAUACAAUGGUGAUAUCCAUAAGAUCUCUCCCAACCAGGGAGAGUACCAACCAGUGCUGAAUUUGUGGUUUUAUAUAGUAUUUAUCACAAGUCAGAGCAUAUCUGAUGUCACAAGAGAUUUCCUGUGUCCAAAUAACAACAGCUUUUGCAAUUCUGUAUAACACUGAAGAAAACUAUAAUUUAGACAGAGUUUAAUGGCAAAUCAUAACAAUUUUUUUGCAACAAGUGUUAACCUAUUCAUAAGGGAGUAUCUCAUCCAAAAACUUAAUUCAACAAUUUGUUUAGCUAUGAUAUCUGCAAUUCAUCAUUCUUCCUUUCCGUCUAUGCCUUGUCAUAUGAUAAGCUUCGGGUUCAAUUUUGCUAGCUACGAUCUGUAUCUUGUCCCAAAAUUUGGAUUAGCUUUUUAUUGGAGAAGUGAGCCUUCUCUAUCGUAACAAACACUUUGAUACCACCCACAAAAUAUUUUAUAUUGUUAUGCUUGAUUCUGGAUGAAGAAGCUAAAUACUACAAGUAAUCCUUUACUUACUAUCAGUUACUUAGCAACCAUUCAAAAUUACAAUGGACAUUCUCAAAAGCUACUUACAACCUAUUUUCAAAUUUAUGGCCACUGCAGAGUCCCUGCAGCCAAUCACCCUUACAACGGAACGAUUGACUGCAGGGAUGCUAUAGAAGCCUCCCCUGCUAAUCUUCUCUCCUAUUCUGCCCUGCCAGGUCUCCACAGGCUUUCAGCCUGCUCCCAAUGGAUGAAACUAGUCACUUGAGAGAGCCUCAAGUCAGCUCCAGAGACUACCAGUGUACAUUUGCCUGUUGAGAGUCAGUUUGGUCUAGUGGCUAAGACCCUAGGUCAGUAAGACUAUAAAUUAAAGUCCCACCUUAGUCAUGAAAGCUAGCUGGGUGACUUUGAGCCAGUUACUCUCUUUCACCUCCUGGAUCGUUAUUGUAGGUAAAAGAGAAGGAUCCAAUCUGGGUCGGUUACCGGGAUCAGAAGUUUAGUCUUCCAAGCUUUUGGACUUGUGAUGGAGCCCAUCCUCAUGGAACUUCUCUCUCACCAGAAUGUGGCAAUACAAAUAUGGUCCCGGUUACUGACCCAGAUUGGAUCCUGCAACAUUAUUCUGGGACACAUAUUUGUAUUCGUAAAAGAGGAGGAGAAAGGCAUGCUGGGUAUUUUCAUGAUCUUCAAUUAUUUGUAAAAAUAAAAGUGGAUACAAAUAAAUAUAUUUGUUUAAAAAGCAGGCACUUAACCACUCAAGAGAACCUCAAACUGGAUGCAGAGGCUACUGGCAUAUAUGUGAGGCUGCUGUAGCUUGCAGGCCUCAGCCUGCUCCCAACCCAGCCACUCAGACAGCUCCAGGGACCAUCCGCAUCUACAUCUAACUUAUCUUUCUGUUUUUCUGCUGGUUUCAACAGCCAGUGAAAGGCUUUAUUUUUAAGCAGACUCCAUUUUAAGGAGAUUCAGUCCUUAAAACAGAAGCUUUCAAAAGAUCUUGAGAAUAGCACCUGCUUGCUGAACAGCAUGAGGCUGAAACCUUGGGAGGACUGGGGCAGGCAGGCAGGACCAGGCCUUUCUAGUCCUCCAAAGGCCUCCCCCACCUGGGGCACACUGUGCUCUGCUUAAUGACUGAAUUGGGAUCAUUAAGAGCAGGAGUGGGGAUCAUUAAGCUAGGCGGUCAUAUGGGCACCUUGCUUAACAACCAUUACAACUUACAGGCUCAAUUAUGAUUAUAAUUCAAGGACUACCAAUAUGAUUAUUGAUAUUUUAAACCAUAAUUAAGAUUGAUAUUUCUUAUAUUGAAUCUUCAAGGGCUUAAACUAUUUACACAUUACAGUGCUAAUCAUUUUCAAUCAGCCUCCUAUAUAUUUACACAAAUUCGUCCAAACCUCGCAUUAUUUUGGUGUUAGGACUACUACAAAUUCAAUUUGAUUUAGAUUCCUGCUUCACUUAAAUGAAGUCCUUUCUCCCACCCCACCCACUUAACUUGCCUGUUCACUUUCUAAUUAUCCAGCUCUCUGUUAUAAGGACCAAAAUUGGCUCUAGAUUCUGCCUCAGCAUAUUUUUUCCAAUUAGUUAUCUAAGUGGAAGAUCAUUUAUUUUAAUUGCUCUAGCAAAAAGGUUUCUCUGUAUAAAAAGAGGGAAUCUGUGACAAAGACUCAAAUUUCCCUUUGUAUUCAGUACAGCAG